CCUACGGGCGGCAGCAGUGAGGAAUAUUGGUCAAUGGGCGCGAGCCUGAACCAGCCAAGUAGCGUGAAGGAUGACUGCCCUACGGGUUGUAAACUUCUUUUAUAAAGGAAUAAAGUGCGGCACGUAUGCCUUUUUGUAUGUACUUUAUGAAUAAGGAUCGGCUAACUCCGUACCAGCAGCCGCGGUAAUACGGAGGAUCCGAGCGUUAUCCGGAUUUAUUGGGUUUAAAGGGAGCGUAGAUGGGUUGUUAGGUCAGUUGUGAAAGUUUGCGGCUCAACCGUAAAAUUGCAAUUGAUACUGGCAGCCUUGAGUACAGUAGAGGUAGGCGGAAUUCGUGGUGUAGCGGUGAAAUGCUUAGAUAUCACGAAGAACUCCGAUUGCGAAGGCAGCUUACUAAACUGCCACUGACAUUGAUGCUCGAAAGUGUGGGUAUCAAACAGGAUUAGAUACCCCGGUAGUC
rnacentral:rRNA from 1 species